UCAGAACGAACGCUGGCGGCAGGCCUAACACAUGCAAGUCGAACGAAGCCUUCGGGCUUAGUGGCGGACGGGUUAGUAACGCGUGGGAACGUGCCUUUCACUACGGAAUAGUCCCGGGAAACUGGGUUUAAUACCGUAUACGCCCUUCGGGGGAAAGAAUUUCGGUGAAAGAUCGGCCCGCGUUAGAUUAGGUAGUUGGUGGGGUAAUGGCCUACCAAGCCUACGAUCUAUAGCUGGUUUUAGAGGAUGAUCAGCAACACUGGGACUGAGACACGGCCCAGACUCCUACGGGAGGCAGCAGUGGGGAAUCUUGGACAAUGGGCGCAAGCCUGAUCCAGCCAUGCCGCGUGAGUGAUGAAGGCCUUAGGGUCGUAAAGCUCUUUCGCCAGGGAUGAUAAUGACAGUACCUGGUAAAGAAACCCCGGCUAACUCCGUGCCAGCAGCCGCGGUAAUACGGAGGGGGUUAGCGUUGUUCGGAAUUACUGGGCGUAAAGCGCGCGUAGGCGGAUUGGAAAGUUGGGGGUGAAAUCCCGGGGCUCAACCCCGGAACGGCCUCCAAAACUCCCAGUCUUGAGUUCGAGAGAGGUGAGUGGAAUUCCGAGUGUAGAGGUGAAAUUCGUAGAUAUUCGGAGGAACACCAGUGGCGAAGGCGGCUCACUGGCUCGAUACUGAC
rnacentral:rRNA from 1 species